UACAGAGGUCCCGAGCGUUGUUCGGAUUUAUUGGGCGUAAAGGGUGCGUAGGCGGCGGAGUAAGUUGGGUGUGAAAUCCCGGGGCUCAACCUCGGAAUUGCAUUCAAUACUGCUUCGCUCGAGUACUGGAGAGGAGGCUGGAAUUUACGGUGUAGCAGUGAAAUGCGUAGAUAUCGUAAGGAAGGCCGGUGGCGAAAGCGGCAUCCUGGACCGGUAUUGACGCUGAUGCGCGAAAGCCAGGGGAGCAAACGGG
rnacentral:rRNA from 1 species